rnacentral:rRNA from 1 species
GACGAACGCUGGCGGCGUGCUUAACACAUGCAAGUCGAACGGAAAGGCCCCCUUGUGGGGUACUCGAGUGGCGAACGGGUGAGUAACACGUGAGUAACCUACCUUUGACUUUGGGAUAACUUCAGGAAACUGGGGCUAAUACCGGAUAGGAGCUCCUGCUGCAUGGUGGGGGUUGGAAAGUUUCGGCGGUUGGGGAUGGACUCGCGGCUUAUCAGCUUGUUGGUGGGGUAGUGGCUCACCAAGGCUUUGACGGGGAGCCGGCCUGAGAGGGUGACCGGCCACAUUGGGACUGAGAUACGGCCCAGACUCCUACGGGAGGCAGCAGUGGGGAAUAUUGCACAAUGGGCGGAAGCCUGAUGCAGCAACGCCGCGUGCGGGAUGACGGCCUUCGGGUUGUAAACCGCUUUCGCCUGUGACGAAGCGUGAGUGACGGUAAUGGGUAAAGAAGCACCGGCUAACUACGUG